CUGCGGUCCACGGCGCCGGGCCGCAUGGAGGGGCUGAGCAGGCUGCCCCCGCCGCACCUGCCAAGAAGGCGCCCUCUGAGUGGCUGCCGCGACGAGGGGCCGAAGGGCAUCAGCGGCUCGGGCUCCCCGCGGGGCGGGAGCAGCGGGGCCAGCAGGCUGACUGGCUUGCCGGCCGGCCAAUCGGGGCGGCCCGCCAGCCGGGUGCCCUUCGGUGAUUGGUCGGCGGCCGAGGCGACGGGACGGACGGCGUCCCCCGGCGUCAGCUGCAUGAGGGGAGGGGGCUUCGGCAGGGAGAACGGCAGCGGCUGCGGGGAGGCCGUGGCCGCCGCCGCCGCCGAGUCCCCUCCGGACAUCCUGGCCGCCGGGCCCGCCGCCGGGAGCCCUUUCCCGCCUGCCCUGGCGGCCGCCGGCCGGGGACGGCGAGGAGCGGGCGGAUAGAGAGAGAAAGGGAGGCCCCGCGGCGGAGCCGAGUAGAGAAAGCGGCGGCCGGCCGGCGGCGGAGAGCAACGGCGGGAGCGAGCGCGGGGCCGGGCCGCGGAGCUGGCGCGGGGGGAAGCUGCGGCGGGGGCCGAGCGCAGGGAGCGCUGGGAAAGCGCUCACGUGGGCUGCGGGCGGGCGGCACCAAGAGCGCCGCGCAAAUAGGGGUGUGGCGCGGCGCACCUUCCGCCUCUCCCGCCUCGACGGAACGGGAGGACGCGGCCGCCUCCCCUCCGCCUUGCGGCAGGUGGUGCGUGCCGGCACUCAGGCCCGGCCUCGCCACGGCCCCCCCGCGCGGCGCCGGCUUGGUAUGCGCCGGGCUGCGGCAGCGCGGCAAGGCGGGCGCGGCCCCCGGCAUCGCCGCGCCGUGGUAGGCGCCUCCGGGGGCGGGCUGUGGCCCGGCUCGGGGAGCGGAGCCUGCCGGUACUCGUGCGGCCCUGCGGGGCUGUCCGUCUCCGGGUCGCUCCUUUGCAGCUCUUCCCGCUUCGGCUUUUCCUUCGUGUUCGCGCAGCGCUCUGUUGGCGGGGCUGACGGACAAAGGGCGGUGUGGGAGCGGGGUUGUCGGGCUGAGCCUGGCGGGGCAGCUGCCUGAUGUGCGCCCGUCUGACUCCUGUGCCGGGGAGAGCUGUGGAGAAAGGCGAGGCUUUGUGCUUUGGAGCCCCGUCCUGCGGCCUCGCUGGGCUGUGAGGGGCCCGUCCUGUGCUGGGGAGGGCGUGGGAGAGCACAGGGAGACCAGCGGCAGGGAGAGCUGCAGGUUGGCAUAACGGCCCUGCGGGUUUAACUGAAACGAGGGGUGAAACGCCACUCUUAGUUCUUCAGUGAAGUGCUACAGCACAUAACGUUGGAUUUCUUUCAUAUAGCUUGUUAUAAGAACAUACGUUGUAUAAUCAAUGAGUAUAUAGACGUAAAAUCAGUGACAAUACAGAGAAGAAUACUGGGCUUACCAAAAAAAAGACUCCACGAGGAGCCAUCUCCAGGGAGAGACCCCUCCCCAGCGGCAGUCAGCCCUGGAAUGGGCUCUAGCAGAGGUGCAGCCUGGCUGCAGCCCUUCCACUCACACAGCUCAACUGCCUUCACCUGUGCUCCCACGGCUGACUCAGCGCUCGCCUCAGGUGGUCAAUCAGAGGUUCAGGCCGUGAUUCAACAGUUCCUGUACAUACAUCCACUGAAAAACGUGGAGUUUAUGCAGAUAAAAGCCACAUGCGUUGUGGUAACUGCCUUUUUACUUGUGUAUCUACAGGGAGCAGCACGCCAGCACUGUUUCCUAGAACCUGUCGCUUACUGUGCAGGUGAGCUCAGUGUAACUGCGUCUGUAGUUUCUCAUAAUCGGUUGUGACUGUGGCCCUUUAGAUGUGCUCUCCAAAAGAAGCACUGCUAGAAGUGUGAUGGCUUCCAAAUGUGGAAGCAUUUCUGCAGGUGUCCUGCUCUUGUCUUUUAACAAGUCUGUUCAACAGUAGGCCUAAGUUCCCUUCUGCUACCAAAAUCCAGGAAUGAAACUUGACGACGUGAAUGACAGAUUAGGAAGCAGAUAUUACUUUAUUGCAGUGCUUGGUGCGUGAGGGAUUGCUCCUCACCAUCUGAAAGCACACAGAUUUUGUAUGCUUUAAUACACAAAUAUUCAUAGGGUUUCCUCAGAGUGCCCACCUAGUCCCAGAAUUGCUAUACAUAUUAAAAUCUGGUACUAUGCAUAAACCCAUGUUAGUGUGGUUUUUUUGCAAGGGGGCCUGUGGUGGUUGUGAGGUUCCACUGGGAGGUGCUAUCCAGGUGAAGGGUUGUCUGUUAUGUAGGCCAGGUCCUGUACUUGGUCAAGAACCUAUUUACAAAACCAUGACCGUUGACUUAGUUUCUAAUGAGCACAUCAAUCUUGUUACAGUGCUUGUAUCAUCAGCCCUACAGUGUACCUCCUCAAGGCUGGUGAAAUGCUGAGGCUCUACUUUUAGGCUCCAGAAGUCCUGCUUAUCUAGGACAGAGUCUUCUCUAGACAAAAUACCAGUCGGCUGAAGAGUUUGAACUCAUUGCUAAAGGCUCUGAACUUAUUGCCAGGCAGCACAGUGCUUGGGAAAAGCUUUACCUGGUGUUCAUCAUGAGUAGGAGUCGUCCCCACCUGUGAAGCCUGGGUUCCUGAUGGAGAAGUUGCUGAUCCUCCUCACCUGUGUCAUCUGAGUGGUUUAGAGGAAUCAUGCCAUCGGACACAGAUCAGUAAUGCUUGUUGCUUGAUCCAACUGCUGUAUAGCUGAUGAAUUCAUGGAUUUAAGACAAAUAAUCCGUAUUUCAUUACUAGCAAGUGCUAGAAAUAAAAAUGUACUCUGCACUAUUGCUUGGAAAAACAAAUCCUGAAGUCGUAAGAGAGGAUUAAAGUUGGAAAAAAAUCUCUCAAGAGAAAAACGAAGGGAGUAAUGACAUCUGCUUAGCAGCAUCCAGCCCCUCAGCCUGCAGCACGGACCUCUGGAGCCCUUACACACGGAAUAAAAGGGGAUGCAGUGAGUGAGGAGCAGCAGAACUGCAAGCAGAGCAGCGCUACUGGUGUAAGAUGGCAUUAGGAAGAGUGGAGUUUUGUUAAUGGGUCAUGGAAAGUAGGUUCUACCUCUCAUAAUGCAAACUGUCUUAUUUUUGUUUCAUUUCCUUCCCAGGGUGGUGUUCUACCAUGGCAGUAAACAAAGCCAUCGGUUGCAGACUUCUGCACCAAUUCAGGUGGCUCCAUUGAAGGUGUAAGAUUGGAGGUGUGAGGUUUCUCAGCAGUGGGACGUUACCACCUAGCUGUGAGCUGGCUUUGCUCUGGUGGGCGUCCUGCUGUUCCCCCACAGUGAGCUGUGUUCUGGUUCUGUUGGAAGGCUGCCCGGUCCUUCUGCCGGGUUUAUAUUCCACUUAAACGCGUGGCUAUUCAAGUGACCAACCUUUUGGAGUGUCUCGUUUGGCUUUGCCUUAAACGUUUGCUGCUCCUACCCCUUCCCCCCUUCCUACAGAGGCCUUUUUAUAGGUGGCCUGUAGUGCCAUAUAGUUUUUGCUUAGAGUUGAGCAUUUUCCUAAGCUUAUGGGGUUAACCACGAUUAUGGGAGAGUUCUUGAAGCAUUUUUGAAUGUAAUGCUUUUAUUUAAUGUUUGUAAGCAAGUUCAAAGGUGUCAGAUACAAAUGUCCCAGUAUGGCACAAGGACGAGACGUGGCAUUGGGGAUUGGGCUGUUCUGUUGCUAGUGCACACAAAUGUGGCAAUGAACUUUUUCCCUCGUGCUUUAGAGCAUUAAAACAGCUGUUUUGGAUCAGAGCAAAGUGGGCAGCAGCUGUGGCAGUGAUCUGCCUGUGAUUAGUGGGCUCAGGCACUCGUGGAGUCACAGAUGGGCUUUGUGCUCUUAAGGGCACUGUGCUUUUAGGGCUCCCGCUUUUGCACCAGUGUGCUUCUUAAAGUGCUAAAAGUUUUCCCAGCUGGAAGUCCUCACAGCAUCACACAGCAAAGAGCUCUGGGUAUCAGCAUCCACACAAAGGCACCGCGCAGUCCGCCUGUGUUCCAAUGGGCACAAACAGCACUGAUUGCGUAUUAAAGCCAUUGUCACCAUCACAACCUGGGAGGAGAGCAGAGUGCCAGGACGCUGCAGGACCCCGAAGAUUAUGUCUUAUAAAUAAACAGCUCAAAUUUGUCUGAAGCCUCAGCGUGCGAUGUAUGGAGCGUUGCAUUCUGACCGUGUUACGCCAAGAUUGCUGCUAAUGGCUUUUGGCAGCACAGCCACCAAGUCAGAAAGCUGAGAUGAUUGCAGAUUGUCUGCUUCCAUACACAUCAUACAGCUGCCUGGAAGACGGUGGAGGCAGCGCCUAAUUGAUGUUUGUUCUUGUCAAUGCGUGAUCGGGUUUUGAUGCAAGGUUCUCCUCUUUUGUGCUCUUCUGGUCAAAUUUUCGUUUAAAUUUGUAUUCUGUGCUGAACAGUAGUGCCAGCAGAACCAUAAGCGAGGAGUUUAAAUUUAGGAUGUGUUGCAGAAAUCCAAAAAUGCUUUACUGUUUGGGUAAAAACGUUUUUGUGUUUUUUUUUCCCCUUCAGCUGCUGCUCUGCAUGCCGUAAAACAGCAAUCCGAAGGGUUUGCUCUGAAAGCAUCUCUUUGUGCCCUGGGCCAGUGACCCCACUGCUGUGCCAGUAAAUCAUGGCAAGCUGGAGGAAUCUCCCUGAUUUCUGAGCUCCUAAUCCCGCAAAGCCUGUAAAUGAUGGCUGGCUUAGCUUUGUUUCUGAUAAAACGAGGCUUAUGAGAUGAUGACAUUUGCUGCCUGUUUCUCCUCCGCUCCGUUCCGUGUCACCACCCAAGAGAUCUCUGGAGCCCAUCAGUGCAAGGCUGUGUGCCUAGUGCUACAACACUACCGCGUGCUGGAGAGCAGGGAGGAGCCUGGGUGAAUGUAUGGGAAUGAAUUUGGCUGUGUUAGCACUCCGAUCCCCUUCUGCAUGAUGUGCUUCCCCUGUUCUGCAGUGUCUGAUGCAGGUAUUGGGUCAGCCCAGUGAUGUUUGCUUCCUGGAGAGCACGCAUGGAACCUGCUGAUGGAGUUUGUUAACAGCCCCGCUGUUCCUUAAGCCAAGCUGGGUUUUUGCUUUGAUAAAACCUCUGGGCAUGGUGUGUGGCUGUACAGAGUGUGAGAACUCAGGGAGGUUCUUUACUCUGAGAGUGGCGAGGUGCUGAACAGCUGCCCAGAGAGGCUGUGGAUGCCCCGUCCAUCCCUGGAGGUGUUCAAGGCCAGGUUGGAUGGGCCCUGGGCAGCCUGGGC
rnacentral:lncRNA from 1 species